UGGGGAAUAUUGGACAAUGGGCGCAAGCCUGAUCCAGCCAUGCCGCGUGAGUGAAGAAGGCCUUCGGGUUGUAAAGCUCUUUUACCAGGGACGAUAAUGACGGUACCUGGAGAAUAAGCCCCGGCAAACUUCGUGCCAGCAGCCGCGGUAAUACGAAGGGGGCUAGCGUUGUUCGGAAUUACUGGGCGUAAAGCGCACGUAGGCGGAUUGUUAAGUCAGAGGUGAAAUCCUGGGGCUCAACCCCAGAACUGCCUUUGAUACUGGCUGUCUCGAGGUCGAGAGAGGUUGGUGGAAUUCCUAGUGUAGAGGUGAAAUUCGUAGAUAUUAGGAAGAACACCGGUGGCGAAGGCGGCUCACUGGCUCGAUACUGACACUGAGGUGCGAAAGCGUGGGGAGCAAACAGGAUUAGAUACCCCCGUAGUCCCUGAGCGGGCUGGCAAGGCGCAU
rnacentral:rRNA from 1 species